UACGGAGGGUGCAAGCGUUAUCCGGAUUCACUGGGUUUAAAGGGUGCGUAGGUGGGCAGGUAAGUCAGUGGUGAAAUCUCCGGGCUUAACCCGGAAACUGCCAUUGAUACUAUCAGUCUUGAAUACCGUGGAGGUAAGCGGAAUAUGUCAUGUAGCGGUGAAAUGCUUAGAUAUGACAUAGAACACCAAUUGCGAAGGCAGCUUACUACCCGAAUAUUGACACUGAGGCACGAAAGCGUGGGGGAUCAAAACAGGA
rnacentral:rRNA from 1 species